rnacentral:rRNA from 1 species
ACUGGAGUUUGAUCCUGGCUCAGAUUGAACGCUGGCGGCAUGCCUUACACAUGCAAGUCGAACGGUAACGGGUCUUCGGAUGCUGACGAGUGGCGAACGGGUGAGUAAUACAUCGGAACGUGCCCGAUCGUGGGGGAUAACGGAGCGAAAGCUUUGCUAAUACCGCAUACGAUCUACGGAUGAAAGCAGGGGACCGCAAGGCCUUGCGCGGACGGAGCGGCCGAUGGCAGAUUAGGUAGUUGGUGGGUAAAGGCUCACCAAGCCAACGAUCUGUAGCUGGUCUGAGAGGACGACCAGCCACACUGGAACUGAGACACGGUCCAGACUCCGUACGGGAGCAGCAGUAGGGAAUGUGGGCAAUGGACGCAAGUCUGAUCCCAGCCCA